UUCGUAGGUGGUGCGGCAAGUUGGGAGUGAAAUCUCUGGGCUUAACCCAGAGGCUGCUUUCAAAACUGCCGUGCUCGAGUGCGAGAGAGGCCAGUGGAAUUGCAGGUGUAGCGGUGAAAUGCGUAGAUAUCUGCAGGAACACCCGUGGCGAAGGCGGCUGGCUGGAUCGCAACUGACACUGAGGAACGAAAGCUAGGGGAGCAAACAGGAUUAGAUACCCUGGUAGUCCUAGCCCUAAACCAUCGGAACUUGGGGUGGCCCGCGUAGGCGGGUCGUCCCGUAGCUAACGCGUUAAGUUCCGCGCCUGGGGAGUACGGUCGCAAGACUGAA
rnacentral:rRNA from 1 species